UGUGAAUACCCAGGAUGUGAAGGCAAAUUAGGUGGAACUGGACGGUUGCUGCCAACCAGGUCAGCUUGCGAAUCAGCCGCAUAAUGGUAAGAGAGGAUGAGUGCCCUUUGUUGAUGAUAUCGCAAGCUGACGAGCUGUCGGAAUAACACUUUACUGCCUUGCCGGACCGGAGGUGACCCCCAAGUGUGUGCGGCUGCCACAAUGGGGUAAAUCUCAAAUAGAGCUGAAGUUUCUCUAAACCCCGGCAAGGCAUCCGUCUCAGCUGGCCAGUGACCCCUAAACCAGUGAUUACCAAAUAUAGCUGCAAAACCCGUGUUGGCUGCAGCGUCAGUGUAAAUGCAGGGAGAGGAGUCUGAGAGGGGGGGAAUAAACAUGGAGAUACCGUUCCAUAGGGACAAAAACUGCCCCCACAUGAUUAGGUCAGCUUUGGCGUGCUGGUCCAACGCAAUUGGGCAGGCGUCCGGUACCCCGUGAAGCAGACAAAGGAGCCUGGACACAAAAGAUCUGCCCUGCGGAACGAUGCGCAUUGCAAAAUUCAGGGACCCCAAUAAGGACUGAAGUUCUUUCCUGGUGCAUACAUCACUCCGCAGGAACAUGACUAUUUCCCCUCUCAGGCGGAAGAGUUUUUCAGUGGGAAGGCUGGCGCGGAAGGUAGCAGAGUCUAGCUCUAUGCCCAAGAAAGUGAGUUUAGUGGUGGGGCCAAUUGUUUUAGUGGGAGACAAAGGUACCCCGAGGGUGGAGAAAAGUGCAGAGGUGCUGAGGAUAUCGGUGGGUGUGCGUGUGCUUGGUUCUAUGAUGAGGAAGUCAUCCAAGUAGUGAAUGACGGCGUGACACCUAAUAAUGUUCAGAAGCAGCCAGCAUAGCGUUUCCGCGAAAAUAUCAAAGAGUUUGGGGCUGCUUCUGGAACCGAAAGUGAGGCGCGUGGAAAAAUAGUACCUGUUACGCCAUUUAACACCGUGCAAGUGCCAAAGUGAUGGGUGUAUGGGCAGUAGUUUGAAAGCGUUGGUAAUGUCUGUUUUGCUAAGCCAAGCGUUGCUGCCAGUUGAUAUGAUGGAUUGUAUGGCGUCGUCUAUUUUAACGUAUUGUAGUGAGAAUUCGUCUGCAGGGAUGAGUGCGUUGAUGCUAGGAACAAAAGAGGAGUGCGGUGCCGAUAAAUCAAUAAUCAUACGUUUUUUAUUUGAAUAUUUGUGUACAGCUAUACCGAUAGGGUUAGUGCGCCAGGAGGAAAAUGGU